rnacentral:rRNA from 1 species
CUUGCUACUGGACCAUAGCGGCGGACGGGUGAGUAAUGCUUAGGAAUCUGCCUAUUAGUGGGGGACAACAUUCCGAAAGGAAUGCUAAUACCGCAUACGUCCUACGGGAGAAAGCAGGGGACCUUCGGGCCUUGCGCUAAUAGAUGAGCCUAAGUCGGAUUAGCUAGUUGGUGGGGUAAAGGCCUACCAAGGCGACGAUCUGUAGCGGGUCUGAGAGGAUGAUCCGCCACACUGGGACUGAGACACGGCCCAGACUCCUACGGGAGGCAGCAGUGGGGAAUAUUGGACAAUGGGGGGAACCCUGAUCCAGCCAUGCCGCGUGUGUGAAGAAGGCCUUAUGGUUGUAAAGCACUUUAAGCGAGGAGGAGGCUACUAGUAUUAAUACUACUGGAUAGUGGACGUUACUCGCAGAAUAAGCACCGGCUAACUCUGUGCCAGCAGCCGCGGUAAUACAGAGGGUGCGAGCGUUAAUCGGAUUUACUGGGCGUAAAGCGUGCGUAGGCGGCCAUUUAAGUCAAAUGUGAAAUCCCCGAGCUUAACUUGGGGAAUUGCAUUCGAUACUGGAUGGCUAGAGUAUGGGAGAGGAUGGUAGAAUUCC